UUUGGUUGAGGGGAUAAGCGGGGAUAAUGAAAGUUAUCCCCGCUAUUCCGCCAAACGGGAUGAAAAUUGGCCGGAAUAUUUUAUCCCGGUCAAACUUUGCUAUUCCCGGUUAUUCCGGGAUAGCAAGGAAUUUAUUAUUCCACCAUUUUGGUGGAAUAGCGCUAUUCCAAUGCUAAAUUUCAAACUUAAUUAAAAUUAUAAAUUGAAUUAAAACUAAACUAUAUAAAUAUAAUAUAUAUUAUAUAUUAUAAUACAUUAUUUUUAUUAUUAAAUUAUUAAUUAUACUAUAUUAAUACAUAUUAUUUAUAUUUAAAUAAUAUAAUAAAAUUUAUAAUAAAUUAUAUUUAAGUAUUAUAAUAAAUUCUUUUUAUUAAAUUUAAGUUUAAGUAGANAUCUAGCGAUUCGUCAAUCCAAACACUCUCUUAGUGUUGGAUUACAAUUAGGAGAAUGCUAACCCUGAGGCUGCGUUUGGUUGGGGGGAUAUUUCAGAACAAGGUUUUUGGAAAUUUUUUUAUUUAUAAGAGCCACAUUAUUUUGACUUAUUAAUAUUUAAUUUAGUAAAUUAAUUUAUUUUAAUACUUAAUUUAUUAAAUCAUUUUUUAUUAUUUUAUUUAAGGAUAAAUUUAUUAUUUUAUUUAAUUUUUAUCUUUCAAACCCCUUAUUCCAACAUAAACAUUCAAACACUAUCAAGAAUAUUCUUUAGGAACAAGCAAAUAACAUUCAAAUGUAAUAUACAACUUAUUCUACUUUAUACCGGAAUAUUUUUUAUUCUCGGGAACAACAAAAGUUAUUCUUCAAAAUUUAGUUUUCUAGCCAAACGCAGGCUGAGAGUUUAAAUUAUCUAGAUUUUAAUAUUUAAAAUAAAAAAAUGG
rnacentral:lncRNA from 1 species